rnacentral:misc_RNA from 1 species
AAAAAAAAGGCUUACACAAAAUUACAUCCCACGAAUUCCAUUUCAAAUUGAAUUGGUAAAAUGAGCGAACAUAAAUUCAAUCAAGUUCAUUUUGUAACGAAAUGUUGAAUAUUGUCUAUAAUACGACUAAAUGACUGCAAUGUGUCCAGUGAGGUACUUUGUCCCUUUGUUGUUUAAAAAUUACAUAUCACUGGGUAGCUCCCAUGUGCCUCUUAUAUCUUAGAUAGUCAAUCACUCUUACCUUCCUGGGAACCAAUCUCUUGCAAGUAAUGUUCUGCUUCCAAGGCUGCCAUGCAACCAGUGCCGGCAGCAGUAACAGCCUGCCUGUACUUCUUGUCCUGGACAUCUCCAGCGGCAAAAACACCACGCACACUGGUCUGGGUGGUGCCUGGUUUGGUCAUAACGUAACCAUCGGAGUCGAGUUGUAGCUGCCCAUUCAAGAACUUGGUAGCAGGCUCAUGCCCAAUGGCAAAGAACAAUCCAGACACCUUCAAAUCAGAUACUUGUCCAGUCGCGACGUUCUUCACCUGCAGCCCACCCAACAGGCGUUCUCCGUUAGCCUCCACCACCAUCGAAUUCCAAAUGACCUCGAUCUUAGGAUUGCUCAAGGCCCUAUUCUGCAUAAUCUUCGAAGCUCUAAAGGCAUCCCUCCUGUGAAUUAUAUAGACUUUGGAUCCAUACUUGGUGAGAAAGUUGGCUUCUUCCAUGGCCGAAUCCCCUCCGCCAAUCACGGCCAGAGGCUUGUCCCUGAAAAUUGGGGCGGCCCCAUCGCAUACCGCACAGGCCGAGAUGCCUCG